rnacentral:rRNA from 1 species
UUUGGUCAUUUAGAGGAAGUAAAAGUCGUAACAAGGUUUCCGUAGGUGAACCUGCGGAAGGAUCAUUACCGAGUUUUCGGGCUUCGGCUCGACUCUCCCACCCUUUGUGAACGUACCUCUGUUGCUUUGGCGGCUCCGGCCGCCAAAGGACCUCCAAACUCCAGUCAGUAAACGCAGACGUCUGAUAAACAAGUUAAUAAACUAAAACUUUCAACAACGGAUCUCUUGGUUCUGGCAUCGAUGAAGAACGCAGCGAAAUGCGAUAAGUAAUGUGAAUUGCAGAAUUCAGUGAAUCAUCGAAUCUUUGAACGCACAUUGCGCCCCUUGGUAUUCCGGGGGGCAUGCCUGUUCGAGCGUCAUUACAACCCUCAAGCUCUGCUUGGAAUUGGGCACCGUCCUCACUGCGGACGCGCCUCAAAGACCUCGGCGGUGGCUGUUCAGCCCUCAAGCGUAGUAGAAUACACCUCGCUUUGGAGUGGUGGGCGUCGCCCGCCGGACGAACCUUCUGAACUUUUCUCAAGGUUGACCUCGGAUCAGGUAGGGAUACCCGCUGAACUUAAGCAUAUCAAUA